UGCCAGCCGCCGCGGUAAUACGGAGGGGGUUAGCGUUGUUCGGAAUUACUGGGCGUAAAGCGCGUGUAGGCGGCUUGGUAAGUCUGAUGUGAAAUCCUAGGGCUCAACCCUAGGCCUGCAUUGGAUACUGCCUGGCUAGAGUCCGGGAGAGGACAUCGGAAUUCCUAGUGUAGCGGUGAAAUGCGCAGAUAUUAGGAAGAACACCAAUGGCGAAGGCAGAUGUCUGGAACGGUACUGACGCUGAGACGCGAAAGCGUGGGGAGCGAACAGGAUUAGAUA
rnacentral:rRNA from 1 species